rnacentral:lncRNA from 1 species
GGGGUUGAAAUUGUUUGAGAUGAUAAUUAAACUUAAUUAACAUGCAUGGAAAUUAAACACAACCGAGUAAGAUAGAAAAACAUUAAAGUAAAAUAAAAUGACAGACCCAACAUUGCAACCAACAACUAUCUUGCACAAUUAAAAUUGUUUGUAUGCAUCACUAAACUAAAAGAAAAAUGAAACACAACUCAAUAUACUAUGCCAAAUAUUUUAAAGCAAAGAAAUGAGUGAGUAUAGCUUUCCUCCACCAAUUCACGUGACUUCCAAAGCCUUAAGGUGAAGAAAAUUAAUUCCUCUCUCCUCUCAAGGGUUGACUUAACUUGCUUUG